rnacentral:rRNA from 1 species
AAAGAAAGCGUAAUAGCUCACUGGUCGAGUCGGCCUGCGCGGAAGAUGUAACGGGGCUAAACCAUGCACCGAAGCUGCGGCAGCGACGCUGAUGCGUUGUUGGGUAGGGGAGCGUUCUGUAAGCCUGCGAAGGUGUGCUGUGAGGCAUGCUUGAGGUAUCAGAAGUGCGAAUGCUGACAUAAGUAACGAUAAAGCGGGUGAAAAGCCCGCUCGCCGGAAGACCAAGGGUUCCUGUCCAACGUUAAUCGGGGCAGGGUGAGUCGACCCCUAAGGCGAGGC